CCACUGCGCCACCAGGGAAGCCCCAGAUUUUAUAUUCUUGCUCACCCAGACAGUGCCUUUUGGAGGGGGCACAUAGGAAGGCUGUGUGGAAAGAACGGAUGCCUUGCCAGGGUGGCGAGUACUGUGUCUGCCUGAAGGUUUGUGCGUCAGUACCCGGAAGCAGAGAGAAGAUAUUGCAACCCCAGAAAAAGAUACCUGGCUGCUUGGCCUUUCACUGGAGUCCGAGUGAAGGACUGCCCUCUGAGGCAGCGUUGACAUCUAAGGAAAGGCAUUCACAGCACUCUGUGCUGAACUCGGACUGGACCUGGAAACCCAGACAACCCUUCCAAAGCCUUAUCAUCUUCCAGAACGCUUUACACACAGAAGAUAAAAAUGUAGUUCCGUAUAACACCGCGAGAAAACUUUUGCAAAGGUUAUUACAAAGUAUUUAGCAGAGCUCCCUGUGCUAUACGGCAACUCUUCAUCAGCCGCGUGUGGGCUGAGAGGAAGGUUUGGAAUUCUGAGGACUCCCAGGCUUGGAGUGAAUCCACACCACAUCCUUCUCACGGGACCUUCACUGGGUGCAUGGUAGCAGCACCAAGGCCGCUCCAGUGAGCAAAACGUCAUCAACGUGAUGUGGUACCUGAUGUGAUGUUAAGACAUUCAAUUCCCUCUAGUCUGUCUUAGGACCAAAGCAGGAGCGAUGGAUGAUGUAGGGGUGCUGAUGCUCCUGCCACAAGAGAUUGAGUUGUUUCUGAUCAUCUUUACUGACAGAAAUGGGGAAAAUUAUCAAUAUAUGCCAGGUCAACAGCCCUAUACUCGGUGGUAGAGCAAUGUUGAUUUGCUUCAGUAAAGAUACCACAUGUGGAACUACAGUUAUGAUGGACAUGAGCCCCUGAUUAAGUGUGCGAUAACCCACAGUCCUCCUCCAAGACUCAUCUGGGUUUUGUACCAUUCAAACGGGUAAGGCAGAGUGACUUCCCUGGUGGUCCAGUGGUUAAGACUCCGCCUUCCAAUGCAUGGGGUGCAGGUUCAAUCCCUGCUUGGGGAGCUACGAUCCCACAAGCCUUAGAGCCAAAAAAACAAAACAUAAAACAGAAGCAAUAUUGUAACAAAUAAAGACUCCUGUUUUCCUCCUGUUUGUACAAUGUUUUUUAAAAAAUCCCUGUGACAGAGUUCUCCUGGUGUGAACCGCAUGGGUUAUGGCUUCAAUAGCAACCAGAAGUGACAGCUCCUAGGUCCUCAUUGGGAGAAGCUUCCUACGUGGGGGAAAGAGGGCUGGAAGGCAUGAACCCUGAGUGGGAGGAGGGUGCUGCAGCAUCACCGGUGCAGGUGAGGGUCAUGGCAAGGAUGCUGGCCGCCAGAGCCACACUCGGUCUCAGUUACGCUCACCUUUUUGCUGAAGAACAGGGGGAAGCCUGUCCCCUUUCCCUCUCCGAAUCGAUCCAGAGAAGGUGGCCCUGGCCGGCUUGCCACUCUGUAGAGCCUCGAGUUGGCCACCAGGAGGCAGUGCUGUCUCUUCUCAGACGCAAGGGUAGAAGGUCCCGCCUGGAUCGGAGGGAGGAACCUGUCGCCACCCUGGGGUGUUCUGAUCGCAAGCAUUUAAGCGGAGCCUAGAGGAUCCCCACCCCGGCAGGUGGCGAUUGAAGUUUCCCUCCAGAAGGUAUUUGCCUGGUUCACCAGAAAACACCUGACGUUCAAUGCUUUAGUCCAAUGAGUUCCCUGAAGGCAGGGCUACUGCCUCUUCAUCUCUCUCCUAGCAUCCGGCGUGUGCUUAACUGACAAGUCGUCCAGUGAGUGAUUUAAUACAUAAAGCAUCUGACCUUUGUUAAGACGCUGCUUUCGGAGGCAAGCACCAGGUUUCCACGUCGGCCCUCCUACCGGUCUGUCGCUGAGAAAUAACUUCUGUCUGAGCCUCCACUCCCCGUGUGUAACUCACUCGCAGAUGUAAAGUUGAACUCUGCUGAAGGCAGGGACACAGUUACGGAUGCAUGUUUUUGAAAGGAAAAAAUGGUUGUGAAUGUGAAAUUCACGUUUCUUCCUUGACUGUUUUAGACCUUAUAGGGUAGAGUAAAUUUCUUAUGUGAAGGCACCUAGAGAUUUGCCUCAUGGCCCUCAAGGCAUGAUUACCAGGGGGUAAGGGAGAGACGGAUAAAUUGGGAGAUUGGGAUUGACAUAUACACACUACUGUGUAUAAAAUAGGUAACUAAUAAGAACC